UGGCCAAGUCACAGUGUUUAACAAUUCAAA
rnacentral:piRNA from 1 species